GAUGAACGCUGGCGGCGUGCUUAACACAUGCAAGUCGAACGGAAAGGCCGAAGCUUGCUUCGGUGCUCGAGUGGCGAACGGGUGAGUAACACGUGGGUGAUCUGCCCUGUACUUUGGGAUAAGCUUGGGAAACUGGGGCUAAUACCGGAUAUGACGAUCUGCUGCAUGGGGGUGGGGAGAGAUUUUGCGCGGUGGGAGGAGCUCGCGGGCUAUCAGAGUGUGGUUGGGGGGAUGGGCUAUCAAGGCGUCGUCGCGUAGACGGGCUGUGAGAGUGUAAGGCGACAUUGUGGGUGAGAGAUGGCGCCGACACCUACAGGGGGCAGCAGUGGGGAAUAUUGCGCAAUAUGCGCAAGACUGAGGCGGAGACGCCGCGUGGGGGAUGACGGCCUUUGGGGUGUAAACUCCUUUCUCAAUCGUGGAAGACUGUUAGUGACGGUAGGUUGUGAAGAAGCACCGGCUAACUACGUG
rnacentral:rRNA from 1 species